UACGUAGGGUGCAAGCGUUAAUCGGAAUUACUGGGCGUAAAGCGUGCGCAGGCGGUUAUAUAAGACAGAUGUGAAAUCCCCGGGCUCAACCUGGGAACUGCAUUUGUGACUGUAUAGCUAGAGUACGGCAGAGGGGGAUGGAAUUCCGCGUGUAGCAGUGAAAUGCGCAGAUAUGCGGAGGAACACCGAUGGCGAAGGCAAUCCCCUGGGCCUGUACUGACGCUCAUGCACGAAAGCGUGGGGAGCAAACAGG
rnacentral:rRNA from 1 species